UACGUAGGGUGCAAGCGUUGUCCGGAAUUAUUGGGCGUAAAGAGCUCGUAGGCGGUUUGUUGCGUCGGCUGUGAAAACCCGAGGCUCAACCUCGGGCCUGCAGUCGAUACGGGCAAACUAGAGUACUGCAGGGGAGACUGGAAUUCCUGGUGUAGCGGUGAAAUGCGCAGAUAUCAGGAGGAACACCGAUGGCGAAGGCAGGUCUCUGGGCCACUACUGACGCUGAGAAGCGAAAGCAUGGGGAGCGAACAGG
rnacentral:rRNA from 1 species